rfam:Hordeum vulgare subsp. vulgare, WGS project CAJW01000000 data, contig: morex_contig_1575431
CUUAUGCUCCCUCCGUCCUGAAUUACUUGUCUUAGAUUUGUCUAAAUACGGAUGUAUCUAGGCGUCUAGAUACAAAUGCAUACACCUUUUAGUGUUAGAUACAUCCGUAUCUUGACAAAUCUAAGACGAGUAAUUUGAGACAGAGGUAAUAUUUG